CAGAAACACGUUUCUGGUUACGUUAUCAAACGGACCCUUAAGGGUCGGAAUGUUUAGAUUGGAGCAGAUGGUGCCAAGAUUGCUGACUUGGGUUGCACAAGAUGGAUCGAUGAGGUGGAUGAGGAGGCUCCGGCGAUGCCGAUUGCCGGAACCCCUGUUUUCAUGGCACCUAAAGUGGCUCGAGGGGAUGAACAGAGUUUCACUGCUGACGUUUGGGCACAUCUGUCGAUUCCCUUCAUGUUUCUUUCCCUCCCCCUCUUUACACUCUCUAUCCCUUCGUGACUAAGAAAACCAAAGCUCAAUCUCUCAGUUUCGUCUUCAGCGAUCACUUCCUUCCGCCACAAAUCACCAUUUAUGCAUGAAACGGAGUUGCACGAUUUGUCUGACGAUUUAGAUUACGUUGUGUCACAGCAACAGAGAAUCCAAGGUGCAAUGCAAUGAAAAAAGUACAAAACCCUAAUCUACCUUUCCCCUUUCCCUGUUUCUGUACUGAUUCUCGCCAUGUCUGCAAGCAUUCUCAGCUUAGUAAUCUUAAGGAGAAGGAAGCGUGAGAUCGAUCGAGCGAUCUCCCUCCCAACUCCCAAGCAGUAACAUCUCGAUUUCGAUGUCUCUCCUUCCUCCUCUCUUCCCAGAUCUCCAAAGCAAUAUCACUCUAAAAUCGAACCUCCGAUUCUCUCUUCAAUCAUUCCUAACUCCGUUGUCGAAGGUGGAGAGAGCGGCACUCAGAUCUUACUCGUUGCUGCUUGGCUACAGAACAAGAACACGGAAUGGGCAUCAAAGAACAUUCUAGGUGGCACCUCGUUCUAGGAUUUGAGAAUGGUAAUGCAUACCAAAAGGCUUUUUGACGCAGAAUACGCUAUGAGAAUGCAUACCAAACACAGAUCAACAAUCGGUUUCCUACGAUGCCGAUUGUUGAAACCCUUGUUUCUGUACUGAUUCGCAACGUUCUUCGUUUUGGUUUUUCAGUCCUUAGAUUUGAACGGUUUUUUAGGCGUGGAAGUGAAGACGAAUGAGUUUUAAUGAAUAGGGUAUAACAGUUAUUUUUA